rnacentral:lncRNA from 1 species
AAUCACUUCAAAGUAGGCAAUUUACAACUAAAACCAUUCAGACAUGAAAUACUUUUCCAGAUCUACGCAGGAGACAUUAAAAAGAUGGGGGGCAACCCAUCUUUUCCUCAAAGAAAAGAAGAAGAAGAAGAAGAAAAAGAAUAUAUAUAAAGAUAGAAGAUCACUUAAAACCAGCUACUUUACAAUCAAAAUCGUUCGUAUUUGAUAUAUUUCACGGAAGCAUGUCAAAUUCUGGUCUGAAACAAAACGCCAGAAAAAAAAAAUCACUCAACAGGAGGUAAUUUACAGGGAAAAUCCAUCUCUCUCUAUUUAUUUCAAUAGAUCAUGUCAAAUCCUGAUCUGAGAACACAUAAUUCAGAUUGAAAAAAAAAGAGACAGAGAUGGAAGAUCGCAACAGGUAAUCAAAAUUGAAAUCAUUCAGACUUGAUCAAUUUCAAAUCAGCAUGUCAAAACCUGAUAUGGGAACGGAAUAAAAUUCAGACCAAAGGAACAAAAGACAAAGAAGAUCACUACACAUGGCAACACAGCACCCAAUAUAAAAUUGAAAUCUCUCAGACUUGAGAGAGAGAGAGAGAGAGAGAGAGAGAGAGAGAGA